AGCGAACGCUGGCGGCAGGCCUAACACAUGCAAGUCGAACGAACUCUUCGGAGUUAGUGGCGGACGGGUGAGUAACACGUGGGAACGUGCCUUUUGGUUCGGAAUAACUCAGGGAAACUUGUGCUAAUACCGAAUGUGCCCUUCGGGGGAAAGAUUUAUCGCCAUUAGAGCGGCCCGCGUCUGAUUAGCUAGUUGGUGAGGUAACGGCUCACCAAGGCGACGAUCAGUAGCUGGUCGGAGAGGAUGACCAGCCACACUGGGACUGAGACACGGCCCAGACUCAUACGGGAGGCAGCAGUGGGGAAUCUUGCGGACUGGGCGAAAGCCUGACGCAGCCAUGCCGCGUGAAUGAUGAAGGUCUUAGGAUUGUAAAAUUCUUUCACCGGGGACGAUAAUGACGGUACCCGGAGAAGAAGCCCCGGCUAACUUCGUG
rnacentral:rRNA from 1 species